ensembl:lncRNA
AUUCAGCUAAGGACGAAGGCACUUUAUUUGAAAAACUUGGGUCUGCGUUAAAAAAAAAAAGACUAAUAAGUAUCAUUUUUCUAGAAAGCAAUGCAGGAGGAUUUAUCGAAUGCUUAUUUGGGAAAUUCGAAGUUUGUCGGUAAAGGAGACCUUGUAGCCGUACUCACGUUCGACGCGUGUAAAUCGAAGACUGUGAUGAUGUCACACGAUGUGUCUUGGCCCGAAUCUGCGGAAGAUCGGCGGUAAAUUCGCGAGCUCCUCCGAAAAUUGCAGACUUCGCUUGAUUUCGUGAAAUUCUGGAGGGACUGGGGUACGGGCAUCGAUUUAUCACUUCACUUGUGCAGUAACAAGGAAUGAAACCUACACAAAGACAGAGGACAACUCUCAUGUCUCCCACAUCCUCUCAUCCCUGCCCUCAAUUCCCACGCUGAAGCAGCAUGCCUGCUGGGAAAUUUCCAGAUCAGGACCCCAGCUAGGUUUCGGAAUACUUGCGGAUCCUGCAUGUAGGGAAACGUAGCGGGAAAGCCGAAACGGACCGGUUCUCAUGCUGACCUUGGGCAACUGUGUGAUGGAAGGAGCCGGGAUGAGUUAGCCAGGCCUGUUCACGUACAGUCCAUGUGUUUCUGUCAUCAUGGGUAUCAGGUUUGCGAGCUUCCCUCCUCCUCCUCCUGUGCCUUCGAGUGCCGUACCACUAAAUACUGCGAACACCACAGAAUCAUCAGUGGAGAGCAACAGGACAAGUAGAAGGAGAGGGAUUCGAGACUUCACUCAAAGCCAGAACAAAGAGCUCAGAGUCGAGUCAUGGCUCUGAGAAGGAAGCCAGAUUGAAUAUUUCACAUUUCAUCUUUCUGAGUGCUUUGACCUUUAAAAAGACCUCAAACAAUAAGGCAAAGUUUCCCGCCUUCCUUCACCUGUUGCUAAGGCUUUCUCAACACCGAACCACUUAACCGGACUUAAUAAUGACACAGUGAAACCUGUUGCUGUCCAUAGAAAACCAAUAAUAAAAACUCCCUGGCCACUUUUGUGCAAUCCUCCAACUUUAAUUGACCUGCACGUUUCUCCACAAGCCUCUCCCAUAAAAGUCAUCCAGUGGAAAAUACCUCAUACGCAGAAUCGGCACAGAAACCGGGCUUUCCGCAUUGUAAUAGCUGAACACCCAAACCGCAAGGCAAGCAUGCCUUUUUUAAUUUUUUUUAUUCUCCAGCACAGGACCCAUCAUAUUCACAUUGCUCCUUUCUUCUCAUUUCAUCUGUGUCAAAUUCCAUAACGAAAUCCAUCCAUUUCUUCAUUUAUUUGUUUCCUAUAUACGACUUCCAUGAUGACGUUACAUACUUGUG